GGUGAACGCUAGCGGCAGGCUUAACACAUGCAAGUCGAGGGGUAUAGGUGUUCGGACCUAGAGACCGGCGCACGGGUGCGUAACGCGUAUGCAAUCUACCUUUCACAGAGGGAUAGCCCAGAGAAAUUUGGAUUAAUACCUCAUAGUAUAGCAGUUGCGCAUGAAACCACUAUUAAAGUUCCAACGGUGAAAGAUGAGCAUGCUUACCAGUAGAUAGCUGGUAGGUAACGGCUUACCAGGGCUACGAUGGGUAGGGGUCCUGAGAGGGAGAUCCCCCACACUGGUACUGAGACACGGACCAGACUCCUACGGGAGGCAGCAGUGAGGAAUAUUGGUCAAUGGACGCAAGUCUGAACCAGCCAUGCCGCGUGCAGGAUGACGGUCCUAUGGAUUGUAAACUGCUUUUGUACGAGAAGAAACAACAUUACGUGUAAUGUCUUGACGGUAUCGUAAGAAUAAGGAUCGGCUAACUCCGUGCCAGCAGCCGCGGUAAAAC
rnacentral:rRNA from 1 species